rnacentral:sRNA from 1 species
AAUGUGAUUUGGAUAUUGUUCCAAAUGAAGCGCAAGACCUUGAUAUUACUUAUGCAAUGAGUAAUAGCUUAGGAUUCGGUGGACAUAACG